UAUCUUCGUCGCGGAGUAAUUCUUACCAAACGUAACCUUAUUAAGAGAAACUGGCCUGGAAAUACGCAAUGUGUCUUUUGUCAGCAUGAUAAGACAAUAAAAUAUUUGUUAUUCCAAUGCAAAUGGGCUCGUUCUAUAUGGCCAGUCAUCCAAAUAGCUUCUGGCUUGUAUCCUUCUUGUAGUGUUACUAAUAUAUUUGACAACUGGUUACAUGAGAUUGAUCACAAGUUAAGAACUCUUCUUAGGGUGGGAGUGCUUGUCGUUAUUUGA
rnacentral:rRNA from 1 species